rnacentral:rRNA from 1 species
UGGCAUAUCAAAAAGCGGAGGAAAAGAAACUAACAAGGAUUCCCCUAGUAACUGCGAGUGAAGCGGGAAAAGCUCAAAUUUAAAAUCUGGUGGUCUUUGGCCAUCCGAGUUGUAAUCUAGAGAAGUGUUAUCCGCGCUGGACCGUGUACAAGUCCCCUGGAAUGGGGCGUCAUAGAGGGUGAGAAUCCCGUCUUUGACACGGACUACCAGGGCUUUGUGAUGCACUCUCAAAGAGUCGAGUUGUUUGGGAAUGCAGCUCAAAAUGGGUGGUAAAUUCCAUCUAAAGCUAAAUAUUGGCGAGAGACCGAUAGCGAACAAGUACCGUGAGGGAAAGAUGAAAAGAACUUUGGAAAGAGAGUUAAACAGUACGUGAAAUUGUUGAAAGGGAAACGCUUGAAGUCAGUCGCGUCUGCCAGGGAUCAACCUUACUUUUGUGAGGCGUACUUCCUGGUUGAUGGGUCAGCAUCAGUUUUGGUCGCUGGAUAAAGGUCAGAGAAAUGUGGCACCUUCGGGUGUGUUAUAGUCUUUGAUCAGAUACAGUGGCUGGGACUGAGGAACUCAGCGCCGCAAGGCUGUCUUAGGAUGCUGGCAAAAUGGCUUUAAUCGACCCGUCUUGAAACACGGACAAAAGGAGUCA